UUAAUUGAAGAGUUUGAUCAUGGCUCAGAUUGAACGCUGGCGGCAGGCCUAACACAUGCAAGUCGAGCGGUAACAGAAAAGAAGCUUGCUUCUUUUGCUGACGAGCGGCGGACGGGUGAGUAAUGCCUGGGAAUAUACCCUGAUGUGGGGGAUAACUAUUGGAAACGAUAGCUAAUACCGCAUAAUCUCUUCGGAGCAAAGAGGGGGACCUUCGGGCCUC
rnacentral:rRNA from 2 species